AGGCGAACGGGUGAGUAUGCAUCGGAACGUGCCCAGUAGUGGGGGAUACUUGCCGAAAGUCGAGCUAAUACCGCAUACGCCCUGCGGAGGAAAGCGGGGGACCUUCAGGCCUCGCGCUAUUGGAUGGGCCGAUGUCGGAUUAGGUAGUUGGUGGGGUAAAGGCCCACCAAGGCGACGAUCCGUAGCUGGUCUGAGAGGACGACCAGCCACACUGGGACUGAGACACGGCCCAACUCCUACGGGAGGCAGCAGUGGGGAAUUUUGGACAAUGGGGGCAAGCCUGAUCCACAAUGCCGCGUGGUGAAGAAGGCCUUCGGGUUGUAAAUUGCUUUUGUUCGGAAAGAAAAGCCCGGGUAAUACCCGGGGGCUACUGAGGUACCCUAAAAAAAACCCGGCUAAUUCCGUGCAACCACCGCGGUAAA
rnacentral:rRNA from 1 species